rnacentral:rRNA from 1 species
AGUGAACGCUGGCGGUAGGCCUAACACAUGCAAGUCGAACGGCAGCACAGUAAGAGCUUGCUCUUACGGGUGGCGAGUGGCGGACGAGUGAGGAAUACAUCGGAAUCUACUUUUUCGUGGGGGAUAACGUAGGGAAACUUACGCUAAUACCGCAUACGACCUACGGGUGAAAGCAGGGGAUCUUCGGACCUUGCGCGAUUGAAUGAGCCGAUGUCGGAUUAGCUAGUUGGCGGGGUAAAGGCCCACCAAGGCGACGAUCCGUAGCUGGUCUGAGAGGAUGAUCAGCCACACUGGAACUGAGACACGGUCCAGACUCCUACGGGAGGCAGCAGUGGGGAAUAUUGGUCAAUGGGCGCAAGCCUGAUCCAGCCAUACCGCGUGGGUGAAGAAGGCCUUCGGGUUGUAAAGCCCUUUUGUUGGGAAAGAAAAGCAGCAGGUUAAUACCCCGCUGUUCUGACGGUACCCAAAGAAUAAGCACCGGCUAACUUCGUG